GAUUAAGUUAAAAUGAUGCCGUUAGAGU
rnacentral:piRNA from 1 species